ACCUGUAAUAGUAAUCAUGGAUUCACUUUGCAAACACACAGUCAGUUCUGGUCAGUUCUGGCCUAUACAUUCCACUCAGAAGACAUUCAGCAUUGGAGUAGGAUUCACAUCGGGAACACCUCGUGAACCAUGAGAUUAGCAAUUUGCUCUCCAAGAACAUUAGCCUGUACUGUAGCAAGAUACUGUGGAGUGCCAAUCCUACUGCAAGCUGAAAGCACCUGAGGAACAGUUGGAGGCUGCUUGGGCUUGUUAAUACAAGGAAUAACAGGACUAAGUUUAGAAGAAGUGACCGCAGAUGUGAGAGGAGAAUCC